GGGGAAUUUAUUUGACAGUCCAAAAACGACGUCGUUAAUUUGUUCUCAGUAGUCACCGGUCCGCUGCUCAAGAAAAACAACACUUUUAUUUUUUAACCUAGAUUUUGCCAAAAUCAAUUAACCACUUAUUUCUGUCGAGUAUCAUCUCUGUAAGUUGAAUCUUUUCCUAAAUCAGGUUUUAUACUGAAAUUUUUGCUUUCUGAUGGAAUGCAUUUCAUCAUAUGUACAAAAUCCACAUACAUACGUACACAUAUAUCUAAGGUAUAUGAUUAAUUAUUUUAAUGUGGUAUUUGAGUUAGACAAUUGGAAUGGCGGCUGAACAACCAAAAGAGGCGACUGAGGACGCAAAGAUCGAUCUAUUCGAAGAUGAUGACGAGUUUGAGGAGUUUGAAAUUGGUCAAGGUAAAUCAUUUAUGCAUUUAUUAUUAUUAUUUUUUUAACCAUUAUCUGUUAUUUUAUAUAGAAUUUUGAGUCUUUGACAUUGUAUUAAAGUAUAGUUG
rnacentral:lncRNA from 1 species